rnacentral:rRNA from 1 species
GCCAACUUGCGAAAGUGAGCGAUCCCAAAAAGUGCGUCGUAGUCCGGAUUGGAGUCUGCAACUCGACUCCAUGAAGUCGGAAUCGCUAGUAAUCGUGGAUCAGAAUGCCACGGUGAAUACGUUCCCGGGCCUUGUACACACCGCCCGUCACACCAUGGGAGUGGGCUGCAAAAGAAGUAGGUAGUUUAACCUUCGGGGGGACGCUUACCACUUUGUGGUUCAUGACUGGGGUGAAGUCGUAACAAGGUAGCGCUAGGGGAACCUGGCGCUGGAUCACCUCCUUAAACGAUGAU